rnacentral:lncRNA from 1 species
CCCGUUUUUUUGUUAGGGCUUGCCUGUUGGGGGCUCUGCUGGAUUUCGCGGGUCACAGAGGCUGGAGUCCAGGCCAGCAAAGCAAAGGCAGGCUUCUCCAGAGGUCUGACCUCACUGACUUUUAGUCUCUGAGGCGCCAGUCCCUGGACUGUAGGGGUGACAGUAGAGUCUUCACAGCCAAAUAAAAGCGAUCCAGGGCCUCUGCUUUCCCUGAGGAAACUCCAUCGAAGGAAGAUUGCAAGAGCAGUUUUUUCGCAGUCAACAUUUGCAGAUACUCUGGAAAAUAGGAAGAGAACCCAACCCAACCCAAACUGAAAGUACCAAAAUAUGUGAAAUCCGUACAGCAAAGAUGAUGAGCUUUCUGGGAGGAGAUACUGAAAGAAGAGUAAUUCUGUCCAGGGGGUCACUUCGAGAUCAUCCCUCUCACCUGAUGCUACUGACCUUGGAGAUUAAGGAGAUGUUGAAAGCAGCACUGCAGUCUCAUAAUUUUGGAAGUCUCCCUUGAAAGCUUUCUCUGCAUUGUUUUGGAGCCUGUCCUGGAACUUGAUCUGUAGACCAGGCUAGCCUUGAACUCACAGAGAUCCACCUGCUUCUGCCUCCUGUGUGCUGGAGUGCUGGAAUUAAAAGCAUGUGCCACCAACACCCAGCCUGAGUGGUUUUGACCAGUUUCUCUAUUGACUGGAAAUUUCAAGAACUGCAUUUUCCUGGGCGUUCUGUUUCUUAUUCUUUAUUUGAUUAAAUAUAUUUUUAUCUAUGGUUAAGACACAUAGGAUUAUGAUCAUGUCAUAAGCGCCAAGGAAGAAGAAAAUGUUUAAACCAAAAUAUGUGACUUCAUUAUUUAAGGAACUUCAUUGGUCUUUAUCAUCAUUAGCAUUAUCAAUAACAUGUUUGGAAUCAGAAAUUUGUAAUAAUUAUUUUAAUUCCAUGGUAGAACCAAUCAAUGCUAAUAUGAGAACACAAGAGAUAGAAAUUGAAUUAUUUUUUUUACUACAAAAAAGGACAAAGAAAAAGAAAGAAAUCCCCUUCCACCUUCCCCAGAAUUUAUAAUUUGAGUUUAGCUUACAUUAACUCAUGGUUCUUGGGUGUGUAUCAGAGGUAGAACACAGCAAGCUUACUCCAACUUUCUCAAAUGUAUCAGGCUUCAGGAUGGGAAAUCAGUGGGUAUUGUGUUAUUACAAAUAAUCAGCCAAAUGUAAUAUUUUUUUUGCUCAAAAUAUGGGAAUGUUAAGAAGUGUAAGAUCUUGUUUAACUGUUAGACUGCUGAUUGUAAGGCCACUUUAGUUUAUAUCUUUGUUCUCAAAUUGAAUCAAUAAAUAUGAAGAUAAAUUUUACAGGUCAAUCCAGGAAUAUAGUAAGUCUUAAAAUGUUUUUUAGUUUGAUACUUAUGAAUUAAAUAGACAGGAAAUUGUAAAGUUAUGGCAUUUGACAUCUGCUUCAUAUUAUCAUGAUGAUGUCUUGAUUGACUGCUGUUUUCCUUGUCUCUUCAGAGUUUCUUCAUGUCCAGAUACAUUUGUGAAACUGCUUCUAGAUGACAAGAUGUUAUACUUCAGUGAGUUGUAGGAAGCAGUAUACAUAGCAAAAUUGCAUUUGAUUCAGUGCUUUUUUACCAUUGGUUAACUGUUUUAUUUAUUUUUCUUGGAAUUGGGUUUUAACCCAGGAUAACAUAUAAGCUAAGAAUAUGCUUUACCUUUGACCUAAAGCUUAUCUCUCAUUGGCAACUGUGUAUUUAAUAUUAUUGUAGACCUUUCAUUAUAACAUUAACUGAUCAAAAAAAAAAAAACAAAACAAAAAGAGGGAAAAAGACAGAAAAUAAUUCACACACAAUCUGUGUGUGUUAUAAAGAUAUAUUUUAAAUAUCAAUUUUUAAUGGAAGAAGCAUUUGAAGAAUAUUUACCAAAUACUUUUGAAGACCAAUAUACAUAUAUCAUAAAGCAUAUUUAUCUGUCAGCAUACCUAACACUAAGAGAAUUUAGAGCAAUCAUGCAUCAUCAUUGACAGUUCCUUAUCAUGUCUAGGUCACUGUCUGUUUAAAAGUUGCAAUCAACUUUUUGUGAUUUUUCUUGGUCAUUUAUAAUAGCACAAUCCAUGCUUAUUUAUUAUUUUGCAGUCUGAUAUCUCUGGGGAAAUGUUAGGAACACACUUUCUGCUCUAUUUCUCCAGCACACACACUGAGAGGAACUUCACAAUAAUAAAGUUUUACAAUGGGAAAAAAAACACAAUAAGCUUUGAGACGAUGACUGAAAGCUACAGGGUGGCAUCCCAGGGAAUAAAGUCAACCAAUGGAAGAGUGCCUGGCACCUCUGUCCUUCCAGAUCACAGAACAUAUGCAAAGGUCUCCCAAAAGCCAAAGGGAGGCAGAUGGACAGGAAACAGGCAGGAGUGGGUGAAAUUCAGAUACAGGCAUUGGAUUGUAUGUCCUUCUGCUUACUCCCUGUUUCCAUAUUGAACAAUUUGAAGUGUCUCACUUCUUUCUCUCUUACACUGAGGUCUUUCCACCUAAUCCCAGCUCUUUGUGAACACAAGAGGAUGGGAGAACAUUCCUCACAGGAUACUAUUAACACUGGGAAGAAUUUGAGUCAGUGCUUGGCUGUGAAUCUCUGCUUCUGCUUCCAUCAGCUACUGGAUGAAGAAGACUCUAGGAUGGCAUUUAAGAAUCCUCAUCCAGUGGCUGAUGGAAGCAGAGGCAGACACCCACAGCUAUACACUGAACUGAACUCUGGAACCCAGUUGCAGAAAGAGAGGAAUGAAGAUCAAAGGGGUCCAGACCAGGCUGGUGAAUCCCACAGAAACAGCUGGCCUGAACAAGGGGGAGCACAUGGACCCCAGACACUGAUGUACAUUCAGGGAAAACAACAAGCUCAAAGUACUGGGCAGAGGAAUGUGUCCUCCAGUGAAACCUCAAGCUGGGGACUAAGCUCCUAAGGGAAAGCUGACACUUAAGAAACUCAACCCUUCAGAGAACCUGAUGAAACUCCACUGACAAAACUUAUGAUGGUCUGUUCUCUUCCACUGGAUCUCAAACUUGGGUACUCAGACUUGGUUAUCCAUAUUACUACUCUGCUUUAAUUUGUGGAAAUCUUCAUUCUUUCAUCAAUAUUAUUUUUAUUUUGCAUUAGAAGAUAGUAAAGAUCAAUUACUAGAUACUGAUUUCUUGAUUUAUUUAGUGAUUUGCUUAAAGUACUGUUUGUUCUGUCUACUUGCCAAGUAUGACUUCACUUGUUAUGUGGAACAGAAUGACAGGGAAAAAUAGCAGAAAAAUGGUUGUUUCCCUUAACAACCUGCUGAUUGCCAGGUAAGAUUCUACAGAAUCUGUCUUGUGGUUUUAGAGUAUAAAAUGAGACUACAAACUCCUUGGGACUGAAGCAUUUUAGAAGCUUGUCUGGCUUCAGUCUGUUAGUGAAUCUUCUCUCUUUUACUCUUUAUGGUGUUGGAGUGCUUAUUCAGAAACAUUCCUGAAACAGUAAACUUUUAUCUUGUCUGAUUAGUUGUUAUGGUCCUCUAUCUGUUUCUGUGCCUAGUUUAUUGGAUUUCCCCCACCCUGAACUGCAACCUAUCUUCUUCCUGCUAUGCCAUUUUCUCUUUCUGUCUCUGCCAUCCUGCUGGCUCUAUAAUUCUUAGAAAUGAUUUCCUAUGGCUUUACAACAUUUAAACUCUACUAGUGCUGUCAAUACCCCAACUCAACUUUCUAAUAUCACUUCUCUGUUGCGUUUGUAAGUCAUUUCUUGUCACUAUCAGCCCCCUUUCUUUACACCACAUUUAAAAUGUGGUGUAAUGUCCCUCCCCCUUUUUUCUAACAUAUUUAUUAAAGCAGAGGGGAUGAUUGUUUGUAAAUAGUCAUUACUGCAUUUUCACAGAUGAUCUACUGACCAGUUGUGCUUGCUACUUCAGCUAAUUUUCCACUAAUUGAACAGUGCUGGAAAUAAUUGUUGAAAACCUGAGAAUGUGAGCUAAGUUUUUAGCUACUGGGAUGCAUUCCUAAUCUGGAGGGAAAAUAUGAUAUUUCAACCGUAUACUGCUAAAGUAACACUUGAACAUGGAAAGUUCUUCAACUAAAAUAAUGAGUGGUUAAAAUUACAAUCAACAACUAAAUUCCAGGCUCACAAUUACCUAUAUAGAAGCAUAGAAUCAAGUUCUCAUGAUUCCUCAAGAUGAGUGUCUUAGAUAAUUUUUGUCACUGUGGAAUACACACUUAGCAAAUCUACUUGUGAAAAAGGGGCUUGCUGUAGCUUAUAGAUCAAGGUGAUAAUACAAAUUGUCUGAAUGAAAAUCAAUACUGAAUAAACCUGAAGCAUGUG